GCAGAGCAUUUUGUACGUGGCCGGUGCUGUGGUAUGAGUGCCAUUGUGAGCUCACAACACUUUAGGGGGCCACAGAACCCCAAGCAUUAUACUUUAGUCUUUCCUUUCUACCUUUCUGCCUCUCUCAGUAAAGGCUGUUAUUAAGUAACAAAUUCGGGUGGGUCAAGGGCAGAGUAACCAAGAGAUCUCAGCAAGCAUGAGGGAGAUUCAAGGAGCUGGCAUUGUGUGACUGGGGACAGAAAAGCCCUCAUGCAGGCAGGCGGGUCACAAUUGUUCCCUUCAGAUUUCUGAGGGGCUGCCUUGGUGGGAGAGGGGGUAGUUCAGUUCUGUGGGGCUCCAGGGGGCAAAAGGCAUGAUAAAUGAGUAGAAGUCAUGGAGAGGUGGAGCUUGCCUCCAGACAGAAUGCUAAGAAGGAUGCUGCUGCACAGUGGGGACUGAGCCAACUCACUGUUCAACAAAUAAGCAUUGGAGGGUCUCUAGUUCCAUAGAAAGAAGGCAAAUGAAGAGGACAGAAGAAGGAGAGAGACCUUCCCACCCCAUCAGCCCUAUGCUGCAGAGAGGGAUCCCACAUCUACUUCUCUUGCAGAAACCAACUGGUGGAAGUGACCUUCUCAUGGAGUGUCCUUCACAAGAUCUGGCACAUUUUCCAGCUGCCUGUAGGUAUUCUGGAAGCGUUGGUGGUUUCAGUGGCAAAAACAUCAAGGGCUCUGCGGUGAUUACUUCUGGAGAGGCAGCUGCGGGGAGCACCAUGUUCAAGUGCAGGAGCACCAGCUGGGAGUCUACUCCGCCCCGACUGCCAGUGGGGCCUCGGCAAUUUGUUUUCCCCUAUGGAGUCCAAGUUUCCCAACUCAUUCUUUCCUCUCAUCAAUGAAGAGUCAGUAAGCACAGACGCUGUGCCAGGAAUCAUGAGAGGUAUUGCUAUGGGAAAGAUGACCAGACUCAAACCACCCACAGAGAGGAAGAGAGACAUGGAAAUCACCUCCAUAAAACAUAAUGGAUGCAUGCCCACUAGGAUGGCUAAAAUUAAAAAGACAGAUAAUAUGACGUGUUGGCAAAGAUAUGGAGAAAGUGGGCCCCUCGUAGGAUGCUAAAUGCCCAGAAUAGGCAAAUCUAUAGAAACAAAGAUUAGUGGUUGGUUCAGGCUAA
rnacentral:lncRNA from 1 species